GACGAACGCUGGCGGCGUGCUUAACACAUGCAAGUCGAACGGAAAGGCCCUGCUUUUGUGGGGUGCUCGAGUGGCGAACGGGUGAGUAACACGUGAGUAACCUGCCCUUGACUUUGGGUUAACUUCAGGAAACUGGGGCUAAUACCGGAUAGGAGCUCCUGCUGCAUGGUGGGGGUUGGAAAGUUUCGGCGGUUGGGGAUGGACUCGCGGCUUAUCAGCUUGUUGGUGGGGUAGUGGCUUACCAAGGCUUUGACGGGUAGCCGGCCUGAGAGGGUGACCGGCCACAGUGGGACUGAGAUACGGCCCAGACUCCUACGGGAGGCAGCAGUGGGGAAUAUUGCACAAUGGGCGGAAGCCUGAUGCAGCAACGCCGCGUGCGGGAUGACGGCCUUCGGGUUGUAAACCGCUUUCGCCUGUGACGAAGCGUGAGUGACGGUAAUGGGUAAAGAAGCACCGGCUAACUACGUG
rnacentral:rRNA from 1 species